CUCUGUCUCUCUCUCUCUCUCUCUCUCUCUCUCUCUCUCUCUCUCUCUCUCUCUCUCUCUCUCUCUGACGUACUGUGUGUGUAAGAACACAGGAAAUGCUGAGUGUUGAACACAGAACAGUCAGUCAGUCAUUACUGGGACAGUAUGGAGCUCAGUUCUCUCUCUGUGCCGCUCUUGCUGAUUGUGCUCAUCCACUGUGGACAAACUCAAGCAGGUAAACCCAGACUGAGAGUGGAUCCUCAGAGCUCAGUCUAUACUGGAGACACAGUUACUCUGAGCUGUGAGCCGCCGUAUCAGUCUACUGGCUGGCGAUUUUACUGGAAGAAAGACUCUCAGACUAUAAAU